CUGCGUACCUUUUGUAUAAUGGGUCAGCGACUUAUAUUCUGUAGCAAGGUUAACCGAAUAGGGGAGCCGGAGGGAAACCGAGUCUUAAUUGGGCGUUAAGUUGCAGGGUAUAGACCCGAAACCCGGUGAUCUAGCCAUGGGCAGGUUGAAGGUUGGGUAACACUAACUGGAGGACCGAACCGACUAAUGUUGAAAAAUUAGCGGAUGACCUGUGGCUGGGGGUGAAAGGCCAAUCAAACCGGGAGAUAGCUGGUUCUCCCCGAAAGCUAUUUAGGUAGCGCCUCGUGAAUUCAUCUCCGGGGGUAGAGCACUGUUUCGGCUAGGGGGCCAUCCCGGCUUACCAACCCGAUGCAAACUGCGAAUACCGGAGAAUGUUAUCACGGGAGACACACGGCGGGUGCUAACGUCCGUCGUGAAGAGGGAAACAACCCAGACCGCCAGCUAAGGUCCCAAAGUCAUGGUUAAGUGGGAAACGAUGUGGGAAGGCCCAGACAGCCAGGAUGUUGGCUUAGAAGCAGCCAUCAUUUAAAGAAAGCGUAAUAGCUCACUGGUCGAGUCGGCCUGCGCGGAAGAUGUAACGGGGCUAAACCAUG
rnacentral:rRNA from 2 species